GAUGAACGCUGGCGGCGUGCCUAAUACAUGCAAGUCGAGCGAACAGACGAGGAGCUUGCUCCUCUGACGUUAGCGGCGGACGGGUGAGUAACACGUGUAUAACCUACCUAUCAGACUGGGAUAUCUUCGGGAAACCGGAGCUAAUACCGGAUAAUAUAUUGAACCGCAGUGUUCAAUAGUGAAAUACGGCUUUUCUGUCACUUAUAGAUGGUUCUGCGCCGCAUUAGCUAGUUGGUAAGGUAACGGCUUACCAAGGCUACGAUGCGUAGCCGACCUGAGAGGGGGAUCGGCCACACUGGAACUGGGACACGGUCCAGACUCCUACGGGAGGCAGCAGUAGGGAAUCUGCCGCAAUGGGCGAAAGCCUGACGGAGCAACGCCGAGUGAGUGAUGACGGUCUUCGGAUCGUAAAACUCUGUUAUUAGGGAAGAACAAAUGUGUAAGUAACUAUGCACGUCUUGACGGUACCUAAUCAGAAAGCCACGGCUAACUACGUG
rnacentral:rRNA from 1 species